rnacentral:lncRNA from 1 species
CUGUCUCAUAGUAAAGCAUAUUCAAGAUUGAGGAUCAAAAGCUUUGGAACUCCUCUCUUUCGGGAGGCCUGAGGAGAAUUUUCUUAUUACGUUUCUAUUAAGUUGCUUUUAUUUUCCGAUUCUUUUUUGGUUUCAUUUCAUUAUAGACAGUGCUUGAUUUAGCACACUUUCCUUCUGUCUUAAGCAGAAACACCCUUAUCUGUACUUGUGCAAAAGAUAAACAAAGCUUGUUCCAAGACGCCCUCAAUAAAUUUCUACUUUGCCCUUCCCCAGCCAUCUCCAUCAGGACUUAUCUAUUCUUACUUUAGAUCUUUACUGCACUCAUGUGAAACUGCAUGUAGGUGACUGCUCUAUUGUAAAUAUAAAAUUUACCAACUUCCCAUCUCUUUGUGUUUGUAUCAGUUAAGGGCAAAUAGCACAGAGGAUUAUUGCUCCUUAGGUUGCACAGAUCCAAAAAUGCUGUAAGGAGGCUCCGGCUACUAAAAUGUGAAGCAUUAUCAAAAUCUUACUGCAUAAAAAGUAAAUUAAAAAAGCAAAACCAGUGAUUUUUAAAAGUAACUUUUUCUGUGUUGAGAGCCCUCAAGUACAUUUUUUUGAGGAUGUUCCAAAUGAGAUAUAUUUUGUGAGAUUUGGAGUCUUGCUGCUGCUGUGAAUUGUACUUUGAACAAUUUAGUAUUUUGGACUGAUAUGAACUCCUACCAGGUAGUCUUUCUUUGGGUCAGACGCCCCUGAAAGUGGGGAAGAAUCUAUAUUGAAUGGAAAUCUCAGUAUGUUUGGAAACUACAGAACAAGGAAAAAAAAAUCACCAAGAACAACCUAUUUUUACCCUUUUAUAAGUUUGAAAACUAAUUGCAGUUGGAAAAGAAGAAGAAAUAGGUUGCGUUUUUGUAUGUGGGCUUGAGAAAUAUUUCCUCUUUUGCUGUACUGAGUAAGGCAAAUGUCUUCUUUGUAGAUCCAAAAGAAAGUUAAACUAAUUGGAAUAAGACAAAAGGAAACAAAAAAAGUAAUGAGACUAGAAAGUCAUUCUUCUUGAAACUCCAAAUUGACAAGCUAGGGCAAAUCUGAAUGUUUUACUCUCCUUUUUAUGAUAAAAAUUUUUUUUCUAGGCUGUGGCUUUGUCUUCCCCAUGGCACUGUUUUCCCUUUGUAUUUUAGUUCCAUUUAUUUGCUACUCUUUAUAACACCGAAGUCUGACUUUUGUCUUAGAGCUGUUGUAAUUUUCUGGCAUCAAGGGCAGAUAAUGGUGUUGGGUCAUGAUGGUUGUGUUGGAGAAUGACUUGUCUCUGAGUUUAUAGCUGAAAAUUAAUUGGAAGAAGGACUUCCCUAAAUUGUUUUAAGGGUGAAGAAUUGGCAUGUUCUUUACUUUGGCUUUCAGGACAGGAAAGGAUCUUAGAAAAAGAAAAAUGUGACUCCCUGUACAGUGUUUGCAGAUCAGGCCUGAAUUCUUUCACCUUAAUUACCACUUAAUUACGUAAUUACCUAAUUACUUAAUUACUUAAUUACAUCUUCUUUAGUCCCCAAGGUAGAUUUUUGUGUGUGUGUGAAUUAUUCCAUCCCAUGUAGGCAGUGGCAAAGUGUACUGAAAUGACCUGUAUCUGUCCAUGGGGUGAUCUGUGGGAGAUGUUCACUUGUGGAAACAUGCAGAUAUUUUGCAUGUGUCUCCUAUAGAAAUUAAGUCUAUAGUUUAGAAGAUUAGUGUGCACGUUCCUUGUACUAGUUAGCUUCUGAACUGCCGUAAGCAUGGCUUUGGUCAAGGCUGGGGCAAGGCUGUUCUGUUACUGGUAGCAUCUCUUACUGUUGUAAGUCCAGCAGACUGAUCCCAUCUCUUGUUCAAAUGCUGGUACUUAGACAGGAUAUCUAUGCAAAUGUUUAAAUAAGACUGUACAAAUCUUUGUUUGCCCACAUGGGUCAGCAAAGAGGUCUCUCCUCUCUUCCUGCUUGUUAGAGUGAUCCUGAAGUGUUUGCGAUGAACCAUUGCUUUAGUAUAUAUAUGAUGCCUUUACUAGAAUCAUGGCCAAGUUUUGUCACACCUCCAGGUGUAAUAGACUCCUGGAAUUGCCUGUGCCUGUAUUAUGAUGGGCAGGGUGCAUUUCUGGCAAGGGAAACAUGAUUCAGUGCAGGGAACUUCAUGGAAUGUGAAAGUGCUGAAACUUUCAGCACACUGGAGGAAGAGGCUUGGUUAGAUAGCAAGAAUAAAUACUUCAAACAGUGUUUCUAUUCAUCACCUGAUGUUGAAAGGCUGAAAUACUUUGUUACUCGUGACCAAUGUAGGUAGUCUUGUGUUUCUGUUGUGCCCUUACAAGGAACAGGGUGAGCAGCUUCAAAACCAGGCUUAUCUGGCCUUCAUAGAUGUGACAUUUUGCUUCUUUCUCAUCUACCAGGCAGAGAAAUGUCCAACAAGGGAAGAGGUAAGCUCUGAAGUGUGGAUCUAGUAUUUGUCUUGCACAUCUCUGCUUCUCAUGACUCCCAAAAUCUACCAGGCACAUGCUGAGCCACAUGAAGCAAUCUUAAAAGGCUAUGUGUUACAAAUAUAAUCCAAGCCCUGCAUUUACCAUCUGAACACUAAGUGGCAGUGAGGCAGAGGGUCUUCUCCUGGGGCCCUGUGCAGAAGGAAGCAAGCUAUUCUUCCAUGGCCUGAAAUGCCAUGCUCUUGCCUCAUUGAAGACCAGAUUUCUCUAGAGGCAGUAGCCUGGUGUUUCAGAACUGCAAAGAAAAAGGUUCUUUGAUGCCAUGGAAACCAAACAAAGAAUGGUAAUAGUUUGCUACGUCUCUUGCCUCAGCAAAAAGCCAACAGCGUACCCUCAAGGAUAGCAUCCUUAGCAACCACCCUGCUGCUGACAAGUCUAAGUGGUGAAGAGAGAAACACAAGAAGACGUGUUUGAAGAUCUCUUGGCACUGUUGAGAAAGGUUACAAGCAGCGGGCUUAAGGAUGGAUAGAGGAUUUCUUAAGGCUGAGAAGCAGAACAGGGAAUAGAUGCAAUUGUGACUGACCAUGAACUGGGAACUCACUUGACAAGGUAUUGUAAACAUUGAGGAAAGCCUUGCUGUGAUCUGUAGGAGUGGGAGAUGUUGAGGGACCUUCUAAAGAUUGUAAACAGGCAUGCAGACCUUAUGGAAAAACAUGCUUCUGCAAACACUUUCCUGCUCUUCCUCAGCACUGCACAGCAGCCUCAAGAGCCUUCUUGACAAUAAAUACUCAAGAAUGCUGGCAGCAGCAGGCCAUUUUGCAGGUUCUCAAGCUUUGUUUUUCUCUUUUGCCUACUUACGAGUAGCAAGCUUUGAGGGAGUCACCUCCAAGCCUGAGAGAGAGAGAGCUUGGUGCAGCGGCCUUUGAAUUGCAUUGGAUUGGCCACUAGAGAGCUUCAGCCUAGCAUAGCUGUCGACUAUGAGCACAGAUAUACAUACAGACUAUGGUCUGUUUUAACUCUGGUAUUUUUAUAAUGCGUAUCUUCUUCACUCUUUGAAACUAUUUCUAGUUCCACUUACGCCAUUUAUUUUAUAUUUGGAUUGUCUCUUUCUGCACCAUUACAAAAGCUGUUAUCCUCUAAAAUGUAAGAUAUUUUCAAUUUUCAAAGCAGUUUCGUAUUGAGUAUUACAGGCAAACUCAGUGCCUAACAGGAAAAAUGUUCUCCAUUUUUUGCAGUUAUUUCAUAAGAUAUUGUACUUCCUAAAAUUAUCACUAAAUGAGCAUAAAAACUGCAGAAAGUGUAAAGAAAAUACACUGCUAUAGUUUUCUGUGAUGCAAAUUUAACGUAAAAUAGAAAUUCUGUCUCAAGGCUUCCCAAAUCAUUCUGCAUUCCAGUCAUCUGCUGAUUCUAGAUGUACAUGACCCCAGCUGUGUCCCAGCUUCAUGGAAGAUACAGUUGCAAAUUGGUGGUCACUGGGGACCUUCUGAAGCACACCUUAAACUAGUCUUUGUUCAGAUGCAUGCAGAGAUGCAACGUGUUUUUCACUUGGUGCAGAAUUAGGAUGCCCUAUUAGACCAGGAGAGCUGGAAACUGUUUCACAACCAUCAUGUGGAGCCUUGCAUCUCAGGCCAACAGAAUCUGCUUCAAAAUGAAGAAUCUCUUUGCUGAAGUGACGGUUUUGGCCAUGCUAUGAGGGGUGGUGACUGAAGUCAUCAAACACUGACCUCUGCGUGGUGAGGGGAGAUCUCAUUUUGAUGUGCAGCUCAGAGCUGAGCUCUGCACUGAUGUUUGUGAAAGUGCUCUUUUUCUAAUCCUGAAAUUCUGUGAAGACUGCUGUCAAAGGUUGCAGAAUCAGCAGUAGAAUUGUAUCCCAUCAAAUGUUGUUUGUGUCACCAGGCUAGGGAUAGAACUCUUAUCUUCAGUGAGGUUAACAUGAGAGGCUCUUGUAAUGGCCAACAGUGAUGCUGAAGUUAAGACAAGAGCUAUGCUUCAUUGUGUAUGUUCCAAAACUAGAGCCUUUUGAAGACACGUGGUGGACAUAAAUUGCUGCAUCUUUGAAAUGGCCAAUAUCACAAUUACAUCAUCCUUUUCCACUUGAAGUUAGCACCAGCUUACCAAAAGGUGAUGGUGGGAGAGGAACUGCAGGACUUGGGAUACUGAUCCCUAGUCAGGUAACCCCAGCUGGCUUCUGUUGUGAAGCUGAGUGUAGUCUGGAAAUGCUUAGCAGCCGGAGAGAAAGUCCUAGAAUACCUGAGCAGUAUGCUGAGCGUUUGGACAGGUUGCUGAAGUUAUACUUCAGAUAGUUCUGUGGGUAUAGGUAGUCUGACACUUCCAUUAGAACAUAAAUGCCUUAUUUCUAAAGGCAGAUUAAGUCUUUGACUUUUUGUUAGCCUCUUUCCUGUUUUUUUUUCCUUUAUUCCUCUGGUUUUGACAAGCAAGCUGUCCUUUAGUUGCUUUUCUUAUUGCUGGCAAGAUGCUGAGCUUGGGUUUUUCACUCUGUUCAGAGGAGCAGACAUAUAAUGCUUAGUUGCUAUAGUUCUGGAAAUUGAGUAUUUAGAGCUUGUUCUCACGAUAGAAUGUGAUGCCUUUCCAUCUCUGGGGUCAGCUACUAGACUUUGCAAUGGUGAAACCAAACCACUUAAGAGAGCAAAGAAGAAGAAAAAUAGCCUGGAACUUAUAGAAAUAGAACAGCUACUGGGAACUGUAGAGACCUUAAUGUUAUUAAGCAUGUUAAGGUAAGAAGCAAUUAUAGAAUGCACAUAUGGAGAACAGUGUGUAUGUACUGUUACUGACUGUGCCAUCAUUGGUGAUAUUUUAGAGAAGAACCCAAGAAUAUGUACUGUUUUACUUCAGACUCUUUGCACAUAACGGGUGCAGAAAUCCAGUUCUGUAGCACUGUUAGACAACCGUUAACUUCUGUGGAGAUGUAUGAGCUUAAUUCAUGGUUGGUAUGUUGUGCAUAAGAGAAAGUUUUGAAAGCAUGAUUAUCGAGCAGUGUUAUAAAAAAGUAAUAGCUUCUAAAUGGAAGUGGAAAUCUCUUACAGUAGUCCUGAGAAUUUUGAAAUAUUUUCUUUCAUUAAGCAGAUUCCUUAGAAUGCUUUUGAAAUCAUGUCGUGAUUAAACUCUGCAUUAGCAGAACUCUGUUUCAAAGCAUCUAUUUUUUUUUAGUGCAGAAAAAUAACACACACUUAAAAUACUUAAAAUACAAGUCAGAAAAAGAAAGCCCCCUUGCCCUUCCUGGUAGCUUACUAGCAUGUGGGACCUAAGGUGGGUCUGGAAAACAAACAUGCAGAAUUAUUUCCUUCUUUGUACUAAAAGGUUUAGUGAUUUGUAGAACCUGGGCUGUUUUCUUCUGAGUGCUGUCAGUACUCAGCAGUAUCUACGUGACAAGAAAAAUCACAAGAGCCAGUCAGUUAAAUGAAGAUAAAUAAUAAACUCUUUUAAACCAAGAGCCCAG